AUGGAUGCUCAACGAGCUCUGCUGGACGAACUCAUGGGCGCAGCUCGUAAUCUGACGGACGAAGAGAGAAGAGGAUUCAAGGAGAUUAAGUGGGAUGACAGAGAGGUCUGCGCUUUCUACAUGGUUCGAUUUUGUCCUCAUGACCUCUUCGUCAACACCAAAAGCGAUCUUGGUGCGUGCUCGAGAAUUCAUGAUCCCAAGCUCAAAGAGAGCUUUGAGAAUUCUCCAAGGCAUGAUUCCUAUGUUCCUAAGUUCGAGGCUGAGCUUGUUCAGUUUUGCGAGAAGCUGGUGAAUGAUCUUGACAGGAAGGUAAGGCGUGGACAAGAACGCCUUGCGCAAGAGCUUGAACCUCCUCCACCACCUUCUCUAUCUGGAGAGAAAGCUGAGCAGCUCGCUGUUCUGGAGGAGAAGAUUAAGAACCUUCUCGAACAAGUUGAAGCGCUUGGUGAAGAAGGCAAAGUCGAUGAAGCUGAAGCCCUGAUGAGAAAGGUGGAAGGGCUUAAUACUGAGAAGGCAAUGCUGAUACAGCGACCAAAUGACAAGGUACUAGCGAUGGUACAAGAGAAGAAGAUGGCACUGUGUGAUGUUUGUGGUUCAUUCCUUGUCUCUAAUGAUGCUGUAGAAAGGACUCAGUCUCAUGUCACCGGGAAGCAGCAUGUUGGCUAUGGCAUGGUCCGGGAUUUUCUUGCUGAACAAAAAGCUGCUAAAGAUAAAGGAAGGGAAGAAGAAAGACUAGUCAGAGGGAAAGAAGCAGAUGAUAAGAGGAAACCGAGGGAGAGGGAAAGCGAGAGUAGGAGGAGUGGUUCUAGGGAAAGAGAAAGACACCGUGAUCAUCGGGAUAGAGACAGAGAUGUGGACAGACACAGAGACCGUGGUAGAGAUCAUAGAAAGCCUUAUGACAGGAGAUCCAGGAGUGGGAGAGAUGGUCGUGACCGAAGCAGGUCACGUUCUCCUCGUGGAAGGUCUGGUCACAGAAGGGUGUCGAGAAGUCCUGUUCGCCAGAACUAGUUUGAGAGACAACGUGUUGUCUCUUAUGUCUUGGGGCCAGGAACUUUGCAAACUCAUGAGACAGCUAUUGUAAGAGUUUAAGACCUUUACCCAACUUCCAUCGGUUAUUUGUUAAGAGGUCAAAAGCGUUGAGGUAGGUAAAACUGUUUUAAUCUUUUUUACUUAUUCAUUGUCUUGGAGAUGCUAUAGCUUCCUUUUAUUCUGCCUUGUGGUUGAUUUUCAUUCAAAGACUACAGAAUCUAGUGGGCUCGAAUGACAAAUGCUAUAUUGAGGUAACAAAUUUUGGUUAUUCUUCGAGUUCUUUGUCUGCACAUAGGUUUAUACGUACGCAGGUGGAACAAUGAGCGUUUUGGUGUUAGCUAUUACUUUUGCAUUCCGUGGAGUCUUUGCUUGCAACAAAAAAAGACUUUAUUACAAACGAGUCUCUGCAAAUCCAGGACACAAGACUGGAUGGAUCUGCGUGAUGAUUAAUUUAAAAUUUGGUAAAGUUAUACUGAAAGUUCCGAUGGUUAGAUCCUCGUUCAGCUAUAUUUGUAUCUCGCACAGUGGUCCAUUUUGCAAUAGAUACAUCUCUUCUGCUUUUUAAAAUUCUAUCUCCUGCCUUUCAACCGCACAUUGAGAAGAACUUCUUGUAAUCCUGCGAAGAAGUUGUAGACUUAAUCUUGUAUUCACUUGGUCCGAUCAAGUAACUGCGAGUUGACUUAAUCUUGACUA